UUACAUUGUAUAAAUAUCAAAAUAUGUAAGUGCUCCAAUAUACAUACAUAUCUCCCAGUGUUGCGGGUAAUCCUCUUGCAGACCAACCCUUUUCAUUCGAUUCGAUGUUUUCAAAUACUACCAGCAUGUCAAAAUUGUCACCAGUUUGGUGGACAUAUGUUUCCAAAUGUGUUUGUGAUUAAAAAAAGGGGUACAUCGAUGCGGAGGGACACGCUCGGCUCGUAUUAUUAUUGGCAUGGCGACAGCGACAGCACCUGUGAACAAAGGUGCUUAAAAAUGGAUUAAAAACAAUGUCGAGCCAACAAAAAGCUGGAAUUGCUGCAGGCCAACAACAAACAAAGCCCCCACACAACAAAGGGGCACUACCGCCGUCAUUGUAUGCGUAAGUAUGCGUGUUCACGUUCCGUUGUUGUUUAUGUAACACUGGUGGUGUCCUUUCGCUGUGACUCGGUCGAUAUCCUCCUUUUCGGAUUGUAACCCUUCGACAGGAACGUCAUCAUUAAAUGCCAUCGUCAUUGUAGAGGACAACGGCGUCCAAUAUCAACGUCAGUACUUAGUGACAAUCAUGAUGAUUAUCAUCAAAAAGGAUAGUUGGAUGUAUGGAUGGAAUGAGAACGGAUCCAAAACAGCAACAACAACAACAGUAUCAAAUGUAAAUGCGGCAUAUACAAAUCAUUAUUGUGGUGUUUGGCGAUAUCCUUACAUCUCUACCAUGUCUGACAUUGCAUGACAUGAAAGCAUGUGCUUGUGGAUGUGCCUGUACCUGUGUGUCUGCGUUUUGGGGAACUUUCAAUGUAUUCAAGUGUGUCAGUCGUACAACAUUUCCAACCCCUCCUCCCACUAGGAGUCAACAACAAAAACAACAAAAGGCAAAGCGGCUUUAUCUUGUUCAUUUCGCCGUCAUCAGUUCACCUUCAUACAAUAUCAUACAAGUUGAGACCAUCAUUUUUAUAUCACUCAG